CAGUCGAACGAGAGAGAGGGAGCUUGCUUCCUCAAUCGAGUGGCGAACGGGUGAGUAACGCGUGAGGAACCUGCCUCAAAGAGGGGGACAACAGUUGGAAACGACUGCUAAUACCGCAUAAGCCCACGGCUCGGCAUCGAGCAGAGGGAAAAGGAGCAAUCCGCUUUGAGAUGGCCUCGCGUCCGAUUAGCUAGUUGGUGAGGUAAUGGCCCACCAAGGCAACGAUCGGUAGCCGGACUGAGAGGUUGAACGGCCACAUUGGGACUGAGACACGGCCCAGACUCCUACGGGAGGCAGCAGUGGGGAAUAUUGCACAAUGGGGGAAACCCUGAUGCAGCGACGCCGCGUGGAGGAAGAAGGUCUUCGGAUUGUAAACUCCUGUUGUUGAGGAAGAUAAUGACGGUACUCAACAAGGAAGUGACGGCUAACUACGUGCCAGCAGCCGCGGUAAAACGUAGGUCACAAGCGUUGUCCGGAAUUACUGGGUGUAAAGGGAGCGCAGGCGGGAAGACAAGUUGGAAGUGAAAUCUAUGGGCUCAACCCAUAAACUGCUUUCAAAACUGUUUUUCUUGAGUAGUGCAGAGGUAGGCGGAAUUCCCGGUGUAGCGGUGGAAUGCGUAGAUAUCGGGAGGAACACCAGUGGCGAAGGCGGCCUACUGGGCACCAACUGACGCUGAGGCUCGAAAGUGUGGGUAGCAAACAGGAUUAGAUACCCUGGUAGUC
rnacentral:rRNA from 1 species